rnacentral:lncRNA from 1 species
UCCUGACCUCAAGUGAUCCACCUGCCUCGGCCUCCCAAAGUGCUGGGAUUACAGGCGUUAGCCACUGCACCCUUCCCCAUCUGAGUUUAUUAAAACUCAUGUAAUCACGUAUAUCUGCACCAGGGCAAGACUAAAGUGAGGUCAGCGAGAAGCCUAGUCCUGGCCCUGAUACACACCAUAGAUUAGAACAAGUUGGUAAUUAGAAUGGGGUCCAUACCAAUGAAGAGGAGUGGUCACCCCUGGUUUGGGUCGACCAGUGAACUGCUAUUGGCCUGAAGUUAAUGAGACUCUACAGCAGUUGUCAGCCUUAACUGCACAAUGAAGUCAUCUGAAGGAGCUUUAAAAAAUAUUCUUUCCUGGGCCCCACCUCUAGAGAUUCUGAUUUGUUUCAGGUGUUGCCUGGGUAUGCCCUACAUUGGAGGGUUUUAACUUAUCCCAGGUGAUUCUAAUUAAUGUGCAGCCAAAGUUGAGAACCAUUGCUCUUCAUACUGCCUUAUACAACCUGGACAACUAUAAAGGGAUUGGUAAGGUUCUCAGGGAGAACAGGUGUGUGGUUUUACCAGAGUUGGAAGAGACUUUUUUAUUAUCAUUUGAGACUCAGAGAGAUUCUAGCAAUAGGAGGAGCCAGAAAGUUCUUUUAUUUUUUUAAUUUUAAAAUUUAAAAAUAGAGACAGAGUCUCACUAUGUUGCUCAGGCUGGUCUUGAACUCCUGGGCUCAAGCAAUCCUCCUGCCUCACCCUCCCAAAGUGCUAGGAUUACAGGUGUGAGCCACCAUGCCUGGCCUAGAAAGUUCUCAUACCAUGGAGACUAGACCUUUUUUCUCAAGGGCAAGGGACAAUAUAUUUAAAAUACUUGGGCAUAGGAGCAACCCCACAGGCCCAAACCCGGAGCUCUCAAAGGGAUGGGAUGAAUUACUGUUGUCAGUUGUAAGUAUUAGAGACAGCUGCUCAGCCUUUUGAAGAAAUGGCAAGGAACAGAAAACUGAAAGUAUCCUCAAGGAGUCAGAUUCUAACCCAAAAGAAAAGUUUCUGGACAUUGGUUGAAAUAUACAUGACACUGCAGGAGGGGAAGGUAUCACAAAGUGAAAAAUUCAGUGGUUUGUGAAAGGUCUGGCUAGACACAGUGGUUAUCCCAUUAGGAGGCAAAGCCAGGUUCUUAUAGGUACACAUGGUCUCUCUUGAGUAGGAGGUCACUUCCAGAUCUGUCACCACAGAAGAGGUGUCCCAAAGGGAAAAGAAAUAAAGCGAGAGAGGAUUGGGUAGGCAGUACUCAUUCUAGCUUGCCUGGGACUUCCAAGUUGGUUUUAUUUAUUUAUUUAUUUAUUUUUUGAGACAGGGUCUCCCUGUGUCACUUAGGCUGGAGUGCAGUGGCGAGAUCUUGGCUCACUGCAACCUUUGCCUCCCAGAUUCAAGCGAUUCUCAUGCCUCAGCCUCCAAGUAGCUGGGACUACAGGCAUGUGCCACCACACCUGGCUAACUAUUUUUUUAUUUUUAGUAGAGACAGUGAUAUGGUUUGGCUGUCUCCCCACCCAGAUCUCAUCUUGAAUUCCCACAUGUUGUGGGAGGGACCUUGUGGGAGGUAAUUGAAUCAUGGGGGCAGGUCUUUCCCGUGUUGUUCUCGUGAUAGUGAAUAAGUCUCAUGAGAUCUGAUGGUUUUAAAAAGGGGAGUUUCCCUGCACUUGCUCUCUCUUGUCUGUUGUCAUGUGAGAUAUGCCUUUCACCUUCCACCAUGAUUGUGAGGCUUCCCCAGCCACGUGGAACUGUAAGUCCAUUAAAACUCUCUCUUUUGUAAAUUGCCCAGUCUCAGGCAUGUCUUUAUCAGCAGCGUGAAAACAGACUAAUACAGAUGGGGUUUCACCAUGUUGGCCAGGCUGGUCUUGAACCCCUGACCUCAAGUUCUCUGCCUGCCUCAGCCUCCCAAAGUGCUGUGAUUACAGGCGUGAGCCACUGCACCCGAUGAGACUUCCAAGUUUUCAUACUGGAAGUCCUGUAUCCCAAGAAACCCUUUGGUCCCAAGAAAGAAACCCUAUGUCCCAAGAAGGUCCCAGACAACCCACAUAGCUGAUCAAGCUACUAUGCAGGGAAGGGGGUCAUAUAAUUCAGACCUGGACUUGGAGAAGAAUGAAUGUCUACAUGUAUCCUCCUUUAGAGGACAAGUCCUGUAUUAGGGUGAGAAGCAGAACCAAAACUGAGACUCUCGUGCAAGUGGUUUAUUGAUGGAGUGCUCUUAG